rnacentral:tRNA from 1 species
UGCCCUGUCGUCUAACGGUAGGACACGAGAUUCUGGAUCUCGGUAUCUUGGUUCGAGUCCAAGCGGGGCAGCCA